GCGGGAGAAUAGCGGGGCAACUCGCUUAGUAAACCGGCGCACGGGUGAGUAGCACGUGGGUAAUCUGCCUCGAUGACGGGAAUAACCUUCCGAAAGGAGGACUAAUGCCCGAUAAGACCACGGCGGCUUCGGUUGCUGCGGUAAACGGAUGGCCUCUGCAUGCAAGCUAUCGCAUUGAGAUGAGCCUCCGGCCCAUCAGCUAGUUGGCGGGGUAACGGCCCACCAAGGCAAAGACGGGUAGCUGGUCUAAGAGGACGAUCAGCCACACUGGAACUGAGACACGGUCCAGACUCCUACGGGAGGCAGCAGUGGGGAAUUUUGCGCAAUGGGCGAAAGCCUGACGCAGCGACGCCGCGUGAGUGAUGAAGGCCUUCGGGUCGUAAAGCUCUUUCGGCGGGGACGAAACUCGGUUGGCUAACAUCCAACCGCUUGACGGUACCCGCAGAAGAAGCACCGGCUAACUCUGUG
rnacentral:rRNA from 1 species